UACGUAGGUGACAAGCGUUGUCCGGAUUUACUGGGCGUAAAGAGCGCGCAGGCGGUCGUUCAAGUCGAGUGUGAAAGCCCCCGGCUCAACUGGGGAGGGUCAUUCGAUACUGAUCGACUCGAAGGCAGGAGAGGGAAGUGGAAUUCCCGGUGUAGUGGUGAAAUGCGUAGAUAUCAAGAGGAACACCUGCGGCGAAGGCGGGUUGGCUGGGCCGACACUGACGCUGAGG
rnacentral:rRNA from 1 species